UAAAUAGGACCUAAAUUCAAUUCAUUUGUAAAGUGUGUGUAUGAUGUGCUUUUUCAGGAAGACUUGAUAUUGAUGAACUCUGUCUUUCGCAAAGCUAUAGAAAUCAACCAGAGAGCUGACUGACCACGCUGAAGAGUAGCUGAGAAUGACCACCUUGAUUCCUUUGUUUUAUGCUUCAGUUAAAUGAGUUAAUUCAGAAUUUGAGUAAAUU